rnacentral:rRNA from 1 species
AUUGAACGCUGGCGGAAUGCUUUACACAUGCAAGUCGAACGGCAGCACGGGGGCAACCCUGGUGGCGAGUGGCGAACGGGUGAGUAAUACAUCGGAACGUGCCCAGUCGUGGGGGAUAACGUAGCGAAAGCUACGCUAAUACCGCAUACGAACUGAGGUUGAAAGCGGGGGAUCGCAAGACCUCGCGCGAUUGGAGCGGCCGAUGGCAGAUUAGGUAGUUGGUGGGGUAAAGGCUCACCAAGCCGACGAUCUGUAGCUGGUCUGAGAGGACGACCAGCCACACUGGGACUGAGACACGGCCCAGACUCCUACGGGAGGCAGCAGUGGGGAAUUUUGGACAAUGGGCGAAAGCCUGAUCCAGCCAUUCCGCGUGCAGGAUGAAGGCCCUCGGGUUGUAAAGCUCUUUCGGCGGGGAAGAAAUGGCAACGGCUAAUACCCGUUGUUGAUGACGGUACCCGCAUAAGAAGCACCGGCUAACUACGUGCCAGCCGCCGCGGUAAAAC